UGGGGUAAAACGGGUAUAGAAUUGUUUAUAAAUAUUUAAUGUAAGUACAAACAUAUAGUCGAAAAAAGUGUCAUCCCUAUUUUCUCAUUAUUUGUAGACGCAAUAAUUAUAUAAAACGCCCGCUUCGUAUAAUGAAAUCAGAAUUGAUAUUAUUUGCGAAAAUCACGUGUCUCGUGUAUUAAUAUUCAUGUGUUAAUGAAUUCGAAUAGUUCGUGUAAGGAAUACUAAGUGCCAUAUGCGCUUGAAAUAAAUUUUGUAAGUACGUAACUCAUAUAGAUUUCCCCUUAAAUGAUCAAUAUUCCUCUAUAUACAAAAUCGAACAUCACAUAAAGGCUUUAUAUUAACUUUAAUCAAAUAUAUAUUUUUUGGGGGAUAAGAAUAAAACCUUUUUUAUAUUCUAACAUAAAUAUGUUUUCACACUUGCGCACGAUAUAGGAUAUAUUGCUCUCAUAAAAUAAAUGGCAGUGUGGAUGGUGUAUUAAAACGUGAUACUAUUAAUUAUAUUUUUAGUAGAAGGUCGAUAUAUUUUUUUAUAUUUACGCGCCGGAAUAAUUAUGCAAGAUAUUAUUUUAAUUCUCUUUGAUUAUCUUAUUGCGAAUCUUUCUGCAAAUUGACUAAAAUCUAUAUCAAAUACGAGUAUACAUUACGAUACAGAAUAUAUUAGGCACUCUCGAGGAAUAAUCGUGCACGUUACGUCAAUAACUAAAAAGGAACUCUCUUACGUGAUUUCACUGUUAGACUACGACGCUUCGCCUGUUGCUUUUACAAUGGGGACUGUACACCUCUAAUUUAUCCCGCGGUGUGUUCAUCGCAGAAUAAUCGAUGGGAAACGGUACGGUGUUAUCGCGUAUCAUGCAGGAAUCCGUCAUGCCCAGGAAAUGCUCUCCCGGACCGAAAGGGCCGCGACCGAAUAGGAAGUUAGCGAACACCAGCUGAUACUGCGGCCAGCCAAGAGGAUGAUCUCCAUUCUUUUAACAAAUUUCUCAUCGUUAUAUAUUAUAAACUUCAAGAGAUAAGUUAGUCUUAGAUGUGUCAAAAUUUCACAUUAUAACUUUAAUUGAAAAUUUCUUGUAAAAAAUUUCUUUAUUUGUUUUGAAUUAACUUACCGAAGUCAUGGAAUCGUACGCGAUAUCCAGACACUUCUUUAUUCUGUCGGUGUCCAAGCCGACCACGGAUCCGUAAAAAGCCGCGAGUUCCUUCUUGCUGAUCAUUCCACUACCGGAGCUGUUGAUGGCGAGAAAGAACACCCUAGGCAUAACUUUGAUCCAAAACGGUAUAUCGUUGUAGCUUGCACCGUCCGGUGGUGCGACGAUUUUCGCCCACCAGGACAGCCAUUCCUCGAGGUCGAUUUUUUUAUCCGACUCUGCGGAUUCCUUCUCCUGAAGAAUCAAUCCGGCGAAUCCGUUCUCGAUCUCCAACAGCCUCAAAUAUUCCGGACCAUUCCAUGACCAAUCCGCAAAUCUUCUCAAACGCUUUUGGAAGAUCAAGACUAUACCUCCGAGAGUGUUGAAAAAUCCUUCCUGUUGAUGUAACCGUCUUUAUCGUGAUCCAAGAGAUACGUAAAAAAAUGGGAAAACUUAUCACGCUGUAUGAGUGCUAAAGAUUUUGAACCGUCGAUUUCACCAAAUUCAUUAAUAGCGGACAAACUCUCAUCACUCGGAAAGCGGCUUACCCAGGCAGAUGAAGACACUCUACAUAAAAUAAUUCACAUUAUACUCGAAGAAGAAAGUCUAGCUAAAAUAGAGGUCAAGUACUCACUCCACACGUGUACGCUCCAGCUAGGUUGUUCCAGUUCGGGGAUGACGGCGGGUUGGACAGCGAGCUCGUCGAUGUUGCUGCUUGUCGUUCGCCAUCUCUUCAGCAGGUCCUUGGUCCGAUCGCGGGUCCGAUCGCAGGCCUGUCGCCAGUUGGUGAUGAAUUUUCGCGGCACCUUGAGCGCGUUGCCGUCGUCCAGGCUGAUCUCCUGGCUGCCGAGGGAGCUACGUUGACUCUUGUCAGCGGAUUCGCUACCACCGCCGCCACCCCCAGCGCUCGACGUGCCAUCGUUCUCCGGGUAGUAGAUGGGAUCCUUUAUGCUGCCCGAACGACUCUCCAUGACGGACUACCUGGCCAGCGUCAUAUCUCUAAGCUGCUCGACGUAUAUGUAUAUAUUUUAUACAAGGGAACUCACUCCUGAAAAUAAUCAAUUCCACCGACCGCGCCGGAGAGGUCACCGGGUCGCUCGAUAUUGCGACCGCGCCAUUUCGCCGCCGGAAUCUCUUCGGUAUGCAGGUGUGACAAUAUAUAGAUACGUGUCCUUUUCAACUGUAGUUUAUAUUUCGUUCUUGCUGGCUUUCCUCCUCUGUUCUCUAUAUGAUUUUAUGUAUUAUUAUAAUAUAUUAUAAACAUAGUUAUAUCAUCAGGAAUUCAACAAAUGCAUAUAUGGUAUGCAUAUUAAUAAUUGUGUGAUUUUGUAUUGAGAAAGAGAAAUAUUAAAAAAGACAAGUCAAAUAAAAA